rnacentral:rRNA from 1 species
GAUGAACGCUGGCGGCGUGCCUAAUACAUGCAAGUCGAGCGAACAGACGAGGAGCUUGCUCCUUUGACGUUAGCGGCGGACGGGUGAGUAACACGUGGAUAACCUACCUAUAAGACUGGGAUAACUUCGGGAAACCGGAGCUAAUACCGGAUAACAUGUUGAACCGCAUGGUUCAACAGUGGAAGACGGUCUUGCUGUCACUUAUAGAUGGAUCCGCGCCGCAUUAGCUAGUUGGUAAGGUAACGGCUUACCAAGGCAACGAUGCGUAGCCGACCUGAGAGGGUGAUCGGCCACACUGGAACUGAGACACGGUCCAGACUCCUACGGUAGGCAGCAGUAGGGAAUCUUCCGCAAUGGGCGAAAGCCUGACGGAGCAACGCCGCGUGAGUGAAGAAGGUCUUCGGAUCGUAAAACUCUGUUAUUAGGGAAGAACAAAUGUGUAAGUAACUAUGCACGUCUUGACGGUACCUAAUCAGAAAGCCACGGCUAACUACGUG